CCUACGGGUGGCAGCAGUCGAGAAUCAUUCACAAUGGGGGAAACCCUGAUGGUGCGACGCCGCGUGGGGGAAUGAAGGUCUUCGGAUUGUAAACCCCUGUCAUGUGGGAGCAAAUUAAAAAGAUAGUACCACAAGAGGAAGAGACGGCUAACUCUGUGCCAGCAGCCGCGGUAAUACAGAGGUCUCAAGCGUUGUUCGGAAUCACUGGGCGUAAGGCGUGCGUAGGCUGUUUCGUAAGUCGUGUGUGAAAGGCGCGGGCUCAACCCGCGGACGGCACAUGAUACUGCGAGACUAGAGUAAUGGAGGGGGAACCGGAAUUCUCGGUGUAGCAGUGAAAUGCCUAGAUAUCGAGAGGAACACUCGUGGCGAAGGCGGGUUCCUGGACAUUAACUGACGCUGAGGCACGAAGGCCAGGGGAGCGAAAGGGAUUAGAUACCCUAGUAGUC
rnacentral:rRNA from 1 species